ensembl:snRNA U6 U6 spliceosomal RNA
GUGCUCACUCCAGCAGCACAUGUACCAAAAUUGGAACGGUACAGAGAAGAUUAGCAUGGCCCCUGCACAAGGAUGACAUGCAAAUUCAUGAAGCGUUCCAUGUUUUA